GGCUGGAUUGUGCAACCUCGACAUUUACUGGCAAAGAGACAGAGGUGAGCUUGGGGACAGGUCAUGGCUGGCCUCCCCCGCUCCCCUCCCCAGUUCUAUCCUCCAAGUCCCCGUGGCAUAUUCAGUCCCAAGGGCCAGGCUCAUACAGUCACGCCCUCUUGCUGGCACUUGGCUGAUCGGCAGGAGUUGGGCAGCUAAGCUACUGAGAGAGGCUGGCAAGGACAGACGUGCUGUUUUUUCUCUUGGAGCCUGCCCACCAUUUAAUUCAAGAUGCUUUAAUUGAACACCUACUCCAUGCCAGGCACACGGAGAAAUCAGAUGCAGUUUUGACACCAUCCUUACUCCUUAGUAGCUUAGAAUUCAGCAGAAAAUGAAGGCAGAAGUAUGUGUUGUCCUGAGUUUCUACUUUGGCCCUGAGAAGUUACCAUAGAAGUGUAAAGAAGGAAGAGACUUUCCAACCAGGGACAGCCCUACCAAGGCUUAGUUCAGAGGUCAUUUGGUGAGGACCUACUAUGUGCAGAAGACUCCCUAGACACCUCUCUGAGGUACAGGAUUAUUAUCACCUCUAUUUUACAGACGAAGAGACUGGGGUUCUGAAAUGUUAAAUAACUUCCUAAAAUUAUAUCACCAGGAAGAGGUACAAACAGGAAGAGAUUUCCAGUCAAAGCAUAUACUUUUUCCAGGAAACUAGACCACCUACUCCUUAGAGAAGGCUGAAUUUGUCCUGAGCUUGAAGUAAGACUGACAUUUGGUCAGGCAGCUCUGAGGUGGAGGGCUUUCCUUCUGUUUCUGCACCCAGACAGGUGCAAACUGGCUGCCCUGAGACACAGUCACUGUCCUCCCACGGGGGUGCUGACAAAGCCUGAAAGCAUGCUUCGGAGGAGGCAUCCACUCCAGAUCCUCUCUCAGCCUCCAUCUGUGAUUCAGCCCUAAAAAAAUAACCUCGCUGCCAAUCCAGAUAGUCCUGGCUGCCCACUGAAACCAACAUCUCAGAUGGAUUUAGCACCUUCUGGAAGCCAUUCCUCAGUCAUGCACCAUUAAUAACCCGUUCAGCUAUCUAACUGGCUCGAGCACAAACACACCCCUUAUGUCACCCCGAGGAGUUUGGCCCUGAACCGCUCCACAGAGGAGCAUCUGAGCUGGCUGAAGGAGUGACCAGCCCUGGGAAGGCACCGAGUGACACUGAGAGGGCUAGGAGAGUGUUUACAUCUCCAGCUCUGUUCUUGAGUGAUUCAUGCAGCCCACAGAAUAAAAUUAACAUCUCAUCCAGCACCAGAAAAUUA
rnacentral:lncRNA from 1 species